rnacentral:tRNA from 1 species
AACCUUGUAGCUCAGCUGGUAGAGCGUGCGCUGUAAAAAGCGUAGGCCGCGUCUAUGCGUGGGUUCGAAUCUCACCGAGGUUG